AUUGAACGCUGGCGGCAGGCUUAACACAUGCAAGUCGAGCGGAGAUGAGGUGCUUGCACCUUAUCUUAGCGGCGGACGGGUGAGUAAUGCUUAGGAAUCUGCCUAUUAGUGGGGGACAACAUUCCGAAAGGAAUGCUAAUACCGCAUACGUCCUACGGGAGAAAGCAGUGGAUCUUCGGACCUCGCGCUAAUAGAUGAGCCUAAGUCGGAUUAGCUAGUUGGUGGGGUAAAGGCCUACCAAGGCGACGAUCUGUAGCGGGUCUGAGAGGAUGAUCCGCCACACUGGGACUGAGACACGGCCCAGACUCCUACGGGAGGCAGCAGUGGGGAAUAUUGGACAAUGGGGGGAACCCUGAUCCAGCCAUGCCGCGUGUGUGAAGAAGGCCUUAUGGUUGUAAAGCACUUUAAGCGAGGAGGAGGCUACUGAGACUAAUACUCUUGGAUAGUGGACGUUACUCGCAGAAUAAGCACCGGCUAACUCUGUGCCAGCCGCCGCGGUAA
rnacentral:rRNA from 1 species